rnacentral:rRNA from 1 species
UGGGGAAUAUUGGACAAUGGGCGCAAGCCUGAUCCAGCCAUGCCGCGUGGAUGAAGAAGGCCCUAGGGUUGUAAAGUCCUUUCACCGCCGAGGAUAAUGACGGUAGGCGGAGAAGAAGCCCCGGCUAAUUUCGUGCCAGCAGCCGCGGUAAUACGAAAGGGGCUAGCGUUGUUCGGAAUUACUGGGCGUAAAGCGCGCGUAGGCGGCUUAUCAAGUUGGGGGUGAAAUCCCGGGGCUCAACUCCGGAACUGCCUCCAAAACUGGUAAGCUCGAGGCCGUGAGAGGAUAGUGGAAUUCCGAGUGUAGAGGUGAAAUUCGUAGAUAUUCGGAAGAACACCAGUGGCGAAGGCGACUGUCUGGCACGGUUCUGACGCUGAGGCGCGAAAGCGUGGGGAGCAAACAGGAUUAGAUACCCGCGUAGUCC